GAGUUGAUCAUGGCUCAGAACGAACGCUGGCGGCAGGCCUAACACAUGCAAGUCGAGCGUGAAAGGGGCUUCGGCCCUGAGUAAAGCGGCGCACGGGUGCGUAACACGUGAAUAAUCUGCCCCCGAGACCGGGAUAACAGACCGAAAGGACUGCUAAUACCGGAUAAGCCCACGGACCAACCGGGUCUGCGGGAAAAGAGCGGGAACCUUCGGGUCCGUUUGCUCGAGGAUGAGUUCGCGUCCCAUUAGAUAGUUGGUGAGGUAAUGGCUCACCAAGUCGACGAUGGGUAGCUGGUCUGAGAGGAUGAUCAGCCACACUGGAACUGAGACACGGUCCAGACUCCUACGGGAGGCAGCAGUGGGGAAUCUUGCGCAAUGGGGGAAACCCUGACGCAGCCAUGCCGCGUGAGUGAUGAAGGCCUUCGGGUUGUAAAGCUCCGUCUGAGGGGACGAACGUCCACGGCGACAACAACGCCGUGGAGUGACGGUACCCUCAAAGAAAACACCGGCUAACUCCGUGCCAGCAGCCGC
rnacentral:rRNA from 1 species